rnacentral:rRNA from 1 species
CGCGCAGGCGGCGGUUCAAGUCGGGCGUGAAAGGCCUGGGCUCAACCCGGGAAUGGCGCUCGAGACUGAAUUGCUAGAGUCCGGGAGAGGAUGGUGGAAUUCCCAGUGUAGAGGUGAAAUUCGUAGAUAUUGGGAAGAACACCGGUGGCGAAGGCGGCCAUCUGGACCGGUACUGACGCUGAGGCGCGAAAGCGUGGGGAGCAAACAGGAUUAGAUACCCUGGUAGUCCACGCCGUAAACGAUGAGUGCCAGACGUCGGUGGGCAUGGCCCAUCGGUGUCGCAGCCAACGCGCUAAGCACUCCGCCUGGGGAGUACGGCCGCAAGGUUAAA